GUCCACGCCGUAAACGAUGGAUACUAGCUGUUGGAGGUAUCGACCCCUUCAGUAGCGAAGCUAACGCGUUAAGUAUCCCGCCUGUGGAGUACGGUCGCAAGACUAAAACAUAAAGGAAUUGACGGGGACCCGCACAAGCGGUGGAGCGUGUUCUUUAAUUCGAUGCUAAACGAAGAACCUUACCAGGGCUUGACAUCCCUUAAAAUUUUGUCGAAAGACGAGAGUGCUUUAUUGAAUAAGGUGACAGGUGAUGCAUGGCCGUCGU
rnacentral:rRNA from 1 species